CCUACUCACGUCAUACUCACUUUGCGCCUCCUGCCCCCCUUCCCACGUCUCUCUCUCAAACCUCCCUUCUCUCUCUCGCCUCUGCCGGAAACGGCUACUGCCGGUCACGCCGGCGCCGACCAGCCGCCCCUCUCUCCUUCUUCCUUUCUCUUUCCUUCUUUCCCCUCUUCUCACUCUCUCUCUCGGUCUCCUUCUCCACCAGCACCACCGCCGGCUGGAAACCGCCGCUGCUGCCGUCGGGCUGCCGCCGCCGCUGCGCCGGCCGCCGCCGCUUCGGAGAAAUCAAGAGGGGUUGAAAAGACAUUGAAAAAGAGUGUCGUCUUUUGCCGGAUUUCGUCACCACCGCCGGGCUGCCGUCGCCGCCGCUGAGCCGCCGGAGGGCAGAAACUCCAGCCCAUGUUGCAUAGAAAAGAGAAGAUUAUGAUUGCAGCUUUGGAAAAAGGCAAAACACCAAUUUUAAGAGAACCGUUUAAUGCAGAACAGUUUCAAAGCAGGUUAUUACAGAUGUAAACAUUACGAUAGGAAGAAAAAAAAGGAAAAAAAAGUGUUGCUGAUGCAGCUGAAGCUAUUCAAGCACCGGGCAACCUGUAUAGGAGUCUGAGAACAAUUCCCAAAAACAGGAAAAAAAAAGAAGAAAAGAAAAAAAGGAAAAAAAUUGGAAAAAAGGAAAAAAAGAAAAAAAAGGAAAAAAGAAGGUAGAGACGAAUACUCAACGAUGCCUGUGGAGCAUGAAGAUGUUGAGCCAAGAGAAAUGACUUUGGAAGACAUUGAGAACAGAUUAGGAUAAAGACGAUUACUCAACUAAAAUGUGCGGUGUGGAAAGAACGGCUUAAAGGUAACCAAAAAUUUGAGAAUAUACAGGGUUCCGCUUUUGCUAUUAUUAGCGAAUGAUUGAAGUAAUAUGGAGCUUUUCAAGAAUGCUUCAAAUGGUGUGAGAGGAUAAAGGCUGUCGCUGAACUAACAGAACUUGCACCCGCCAAAAAGAUUACUCCCGGAGAUUUUUCAGAAGUUUGUCAUACAAUAAAGAAGGUUAUCACAGAUGUAAACAUUGCGAUAGGAAGAAGGAAAAAAAAUAGUUUCUAUUGCAGAAAAGGGCAACCUUUUUAGGGGUCUGAGAACACUUCCCAAAAAAAAGAAAAAAAUGGAAAAAAAAGAAAAGAAAAAGAAAAAAAGGAAAAAAGAAAAAAAGUAGAGAUAAUUACUCAACUAUGCCUGUGGAGCUUGAAGAUGUUGAGCCAGGAAAAAUGAGUUUGGAAGAGAUUGAGAGCAGAUUAGGAUUCCUUAUUCAAACGGAGACGAUUACUUAACUAAAAUGUGCUGUGUGGAUAGAGCAGCUUAAAGGUAUCCAAAAGUUUGAGAGAUUUACAAGGUUCCGCUUUUGUUAUUAUUAGCGAAUGAGUGAAGCAAUAUGGAGCUCUUAAAGAAUGCUUCAAAUGGUGUGAUAGGAAAGAGGCUGUCGCUGAACUAACAGAACUUGCACCCGCCAAAAAGAUUACUCCUGGAGAUUUUUCAGAAGUUUGUCAUACAAUAAAGAAGGUUAUCACAGAUGUAAACAUUACGAUAGGAAGAAGGAAAAAAAAUAGUUUCUGUUGCAGAAAAGGGCAACCAUUUUAGGGGUCUGAGAACACUUACCAAAAAAAGGGAAAAAAUGGAAAAAAAAGAAAAGAAAAAGAAAAAAAGGAAAAAAGAAAAAAAAAGUAGAGAUGAUUACUCAACUAUGCCUGUGGAGCUUGAAGAUGUUAAGCCAGGAAAAAUGAGUUUGGAAGAGAUUGAGAGCAUAUUAGGAUCCCUUAUUCAAACGGAGACGAUUACUCAACUAAAAUGUGCUGUGUGGAUAGAGCAGCUUAAAGGUAUCCAAAAGUUUGAGAGAUUUACAAGGUUCCGCUUUUGUUAUUAUUAGCGAAUGAGUGAAGCAAUAUGGAGCUCUUAAAGAAUGCUUCAAAUGGUGUGAUAGGAAAGAGGCUGUCGCUGAACUAACAGAACUUGCACCCGCCAAAAAGAUUACUCCUGGAGAUUUUUCAGAAGUUUGUCAUACAAUAAAGAAGGUUAUCACAGAUGUAAACAUUACGAUAGGAAGAAGGAAAAAAAAUAGUUUCUGUUGCAGAAAAGGGCAACCUUUUUAGGGGUCUGAGAACACUUACCAAAAAAAAGGAAAAAAUGGAAAAAAAAGAAAAGAAAAAGAAAAAAAGGAAAAAAGAAAAAAAAAGUAGAGAUGAUUACUCAACUAUGCCUGUGGAGCUUGAAGAUGUUGAGCCAGGAAAAAUGAGUUUGGAAGAGAUUGAGAGCAGAUUAGGAUCCCUUAUUCAAACGGAGACAAUUACUCAACUAAAAUGUGCUGUGUGGAUAGAGCAGCUUAAAGGUAUCCAAAAGUUUGAGAGAUUUACAAGGUUCCGCUUUUGUUAUUAUUAGCGAAUGAGUGAAGCAAUAUGGAGCUCUUAAAGAAUGCUUCAAAUGGUGUGAGAGGAAAGAGGCUGUCGCUGAACUAACAGAACUUGCACCCGCCAAAAAGAUUACUCCUGGAGAUUUUUCAGAAGUUUGUCAUACAAUAAAGAAGGUUAUCACAGAUGUAAACAUUACGAUAGGAAGAAGGAAAAAAAAUAGUUUCUGUUGCAGAAAAGGGCAACCUUUUUAGGGGUCUGAGAACACUUACCAAAAAAAAGGAAAAAAUGGAAAAAAAAGAAAAGAAAAAGAAAAAAAGGAAAAAAGAAAAAAAAAGUAGAGAUGAUUACUCAACUAUGCCUGUGGAGCUUGAAGAUGUUGAGCCAGGAAAAAUGAGUUUGGAAGAGAUUGAGAGCAGAUUAGGAUCCCUUAUUCAAACGGAGACAAUUACUCAACUAAAAUGUGCUGUGUGGAUAGAGCAGCUUAAAGGUAUCCAAAAGUUUGAGAGAUUUACAAGGUUCCGCUUUUGUUAUUAUUAGCGAAUGAGUGAAGCAAUAUGGAGCUCUUAAAGAAUGCUUCAAAUGGUGUGAGAGGAAAGAGGCUGUCGCUGAACUAACAGAACUUGCACCCGCUAAAAAGAUUACUCCUGGAGAUUUUUCAGAAGUUUGUCAUACAAUAAAGAAGGUUAUCACAGAUGUAAACAUUACGAUAGGAAGAAGGAAAAAAAAUAGUUUCUGUUGCAGAAAAGGGCAACCUUUUUAGGGGUCUGAGAACACUUACCAAAAAAAAGGAAAAAAUGGAAAAAAAAGAAAAGAAAAAGAAAAAAAGGAAAAAAGAAAAAAAAAGUAGAGAUGAUUACUCAACUAUGCCUGUGGAGCUUGAAGAUGUUGAGCCAGGAAAAAUGAGUUUGGAAGAGAUUGAGAGCAGAUUAGGAUCCCUUAUUCAAACGGAGACAAUUACUCAACUAAAAUGUGCUGUGUGGAUAGAGCAGCUUAAAGGUAUCCAAAAGUUUGAGAGAUUUACAAGGUUCCGCUUUUGUUAUUAUUAGCGAAUGAGUGAAGCAAUAUGGAGCUCUUAAAGAAUGCUUCAAAUGGUGUGAGAGGAAAGAGGCUGUCGCUGAACUAACAGAACUUGCACCCGCUAAAAAGAUUACUCCUGGAGAUUUUUCAGAAGUUUGUCAUACAAUAAAGAAGGUUAUCACAGAUGUAAACAUUACGAUAGGAAGAAGGAAAAAAAAUAGUUUCUGUUGCAGAAAAGGGCAACCUUUUUAGCGGUCUGAGAACACUUACCAAAAAAAAGGAAAAAAUGGAAAAAAAAAAGAAAAGAAAAAGAAAAAAAGGAAAAAAGAAAAAAAAAGUAGAGAUGAUUACUCAACUAUGCCUGUGGAGCUUGAAGAUGUUGAGCCAGGAAAAAUGAGUUUGGAAGAGAUUGAGAGCAGAUUAGGAUCCCUUAUUCAAACGGAGACAAUUACUCAACUAAAAUGUGCUGUGUGGAUAGAGCAACUUAAAGGUAUCCAAAAAUUUGAGAGAUUUACAAGGUUCCGCUUUUGCUAUUAUUAGCGAAUGAAUGAAACAAUAAGGAGCUUUUCAAGAAAGGUUCAAAUGGUGUGUGAGGAAAGAAGUUGUCGCUGAACUAACAAAGCUUGCAUCCACCAAAAAGAUUACCCCUGGAGAUUUUUCAGAAGUUUGUCGAGCAAUUAAGAAGGUUAUAUCACAGAUGUAAAAAUUACGAUAGGAAGAAAAAAAAGGAAAAAAAAAGCGUUGCUGUUGCAGCUGAAGCUAUUCUAGCUCUGGGCAACCUGUAUAGGAGUCUGAGAACACUUCCCCAAAAAAGGAAAAAAGGAAAAAUGAGAAGAAAAGAAAAAAAGGAAAAAAAUGGAAAAAAAGGAAAAAAAGGAGAAAAAAGAAAAAAAGGAGAAGACUAUUACUCGACUAUGCCUGUGGAUCUUGAAGAUGUUGAGGUAUCCAAAAAUUUGAGAGAUUUACAAGGUUCCACUUUUGCUAUUAUUAGCGAAUGAGUGAAGCAAUAUGGAGCUUUUCAAGAAAGUUUCAAAUGGUGUGAGAGGAAAGAGGCUGUCGCUGAACUAACAGAGCGUGCAUCCACCAAAAAGAUUACUCCUUGAGAUUUUUCAGAAGUUUGUCGAACAAUUAAGAAGGUUAUAUCACAGAUGUAAACAUUACGAUAGGAAGAAAAAAAAAGGAAAAAAAAGCGUUGCUGUUGCAGCUGAAGCUAUUCAAGCUCUGGGCAACCUGUAUAGGAGUCCGAGAACAAAAAAAGGAAAAAAAGGAAAAAAGAGAGAGAAAGAAAAAAAGGAAAAUAAUGGAAAAAAAAGAAAAAAAGGAAAAAAAGGAAAAAAAAAGGAAAAAAAAAGGAAAAAAUGGAGAAAAAAGAAAAAAAGGAGAAGACUAUUACUUGACUAUGCCUGUGGAGCUUGAAGAUGUUGAGCCAAGAGAAAUGAGUUUGGAAGAAAUUGAGAGCAGAUUCGGAUCCCUUAUUCAAGGAGAGACAUUACUCAACUAAGAUCUGCUGUGUGGAAAGAGCGGCUUAAAGGUGAGAAAAUCUUCAAAUGGUGUAAGAGGAAAGAGGCUGCUGCUGAACUAACAGAACUUGCAUCCACCAAAAAGAUUGCUCUUGGAGAUUUUUUAGAAGUUUGUCGAACAAUAAAGGUUACUAUAAGAAAAAAAGAAAAAAAGGGAAAAAAAAGAAAAAAAGGAAAAAGGGGAAAAAAGGAAAAAAAAGGAAAAAUAAAAGAAAAAAGAAGUAGAGACGAUUACUCAACUAAGCCUGUCGAGGAUGAAGAUGUUGAGCCAAGAGAAAUCAGUUUGGAAGAGAUUGAGAGCAAAUUAGGAAUUCAAGUAGAGACGAUUACUCAACUAACAGAACUUGCAUCCUCCAAAAAGAUUGCUCUUGGAGAUUCUUCAUAAGUUUGUCGAACAAUAAAGAAGGUUAUAUCACAGAUGUAAACCGUUGCUGUUGCAGCUGAAGCUGAAGCUGAAGCUAUUCAAGCACUGGGCAACCUUUAUAGGGGUCUGAGAACACUUCCCAAGAAAAAGGACAAAAAAGGAAAAGAAAACAAAAAUAAAAAGAAAAAAAAGAAAAAAGGGGAAAAAAGAAAAAAAGAAAAAAAGAAAGAAAAAAGAAGUAGAGACGAUUACUCAACUAAAACCUGUGGAGCAUGAUGAUGUUGGGGUUUGAGCUACUGUUUUCUUUUCCCCUCUUAUUGUAUAAUGUCUUAUUAGAAAAUAGUGUUAUAAGACCUCCUGUUAUGAGAAUUGUUGACCUUUCAUCGUUUGUUGCGGUCUUCAGCCAUACAUUACAACUGUAGGUAUCCAAAAACUUGAGAGAUAUACAAGGUUCUGCUUUAGCUAUUAUUAGCGAAUAGCGAAUGAUUAAAGCAUAUGGUGCUUCUGAAGGUUCAAAUGGUGUGAGAGGAAAGAGGUUGUCGCUGAACUAACAGAACUUGCAUCCACCAAAAAGAUUACUCCUGUAGAUUUUUCGGAAGUUUGUCGAACAAUAAAGAAGCCUAACAAGGGAUCCAGGCAAGAAUCCAUCAUGUUUGUUCAAGACAUCAACAUUCAGUCACAUGUUUUGAUCAGCCUGAAAGAUUCAAACAAGGAUGACAGGGAAAGGAUUAUUGUUCGCAGAUUCAAAUUUGAAGAAUUGAGAAUAGAGGAAAUUCAAUAUCUUGAGAAUGAUGUCAUGAAAUACUUUCGAGAGGAUCUUCAUCGGAGGCUCUUAAGUGCUGACUUCAAAGAUCAAGUUGAUGGCAUUGAGAUAUUGCAGAAGGUCUAAUCCAGCUGAACAAAGUGGGGACUUAUCAAGACCCGUUGGCAUCCCAACAUUCAAUCUUUAUAGACUACCAAUGCCGCAGGCUUAGUCUGCUGUUGGGCUAAAAUCAUAGAAUAUGGUUCUCCUGAACAGGGUAGGGGGUAAAGAUGAGGAAUAUUUUUCAAUGGAAUGCUUUUUCAGAAGAUUAGGCUGAUGAAGGCAUGAAAGCUAACAGAUAUGAGUUUGGAAGAGAUUUGGAGCAGAUUAGGAUCCCUUAUUGAUUCAGAGACGAUUACUCAACUAAGAAGUGUUGUGUGGAAAGAGCGGCUUGAAGGUACUUGAAUUUAUUCACGAGCUUCUGGAUAUGUUGAGAAAUGAGGGCUACACUAUGACAGAAGUUUAGGAAACCAUCUUUAUUCCUUGCUUGGCUGAGAAGGUGAUGAUAUUUGGAUAUAUGUCAGGAAGCUCCGAGGGAGAACUAUGGCGUUUCUGAAAUCCACACAGAUAGACUACCAAUGCCGCAGACUUAGUCUGGUGUUGGGCUCACAGACUGGAAUGAAGCUUUAAAAAUCAUAGAAUAUGGUUCUCCUGAACAGGGUAGGGGGUAAUGAUGAGGAAUAUUUUUCAAUGGAAUGCUUUUCGGAAGAUUAGGCUGUUGAAAGGAUGAAAGGUGUGCUAUGAAUUGCAAAUGCUGAUCCCAAGAGAUGUUUAGGUGCUGCAUCUAGAAAUCUAAAUUUUUUACAUAACUUCGUUGUUGUUACCGACUACUUGGACUACUGAACUUAACGUAAGAAUGGUCUGUUGAGAAGGUCCUGCAACAAGUUAUUUAUAUUGUCACCCAUAUUGCUGCGACAGCAUCAAAGUUUCGUAAAGAAUGUGUUGUGCUUUUCCUUUCAGGUAUCACUCAAAGAGGAGCUUACUUGAUAGGUAUCACUCAAAGAGGAGCCGACAUAAAGACUCGUGCUCAGGCCAUGAAGUGUGUUUAACAUCAAACAUCUAAACCCCUCAAAAGUUGUCUUAUUAUUUUUUUUUGCAUUUUUAUUUAUCGUGUGCAUAAUAUAAUGAGUGUAGUAUGUGCCACCUAAGUGUAGUGUAUCUAGUGUGUUUAUAGUUCGUGGAGUGUGUAUAUUUUUGUAUAGUGCGUAUAUGUUUGUAAAGUGUUUGUAGUGUGUAUGUUUGCUGUAGUGUGAUUGUAUUGUGUGUAA